rnacentral:rRNA from 1 species
AUUGAACGCUGGCGGCAGGCCUAACACAUGCAAGUCGAACGGUAACAGGAAGCAGCUUGCUGCUUUGCUGACGAGUGGCGGACGGGUGAGUAAUGUCUGGGAAACUGCCUGAUGGAGGGGGAUAACUACUGGAAACGGUAGCUAAUACCGCAUAACGUCGCAAGACAAAAGAGGGGGACCUUAGGGCCUCUUGCCAUCGGAUGUGCCCAGAUGGGAUUAGCUAGUAGGUGGGGUAACGGCUCACCUAGGCGACGAUCCCUAGCUGGUCUGAGAGGAUGACCAGCCACACUGGAACUGAGACACGGUCCAGACUCCUACGGGAGGCAGCAGUAGGGAAUAUUGGACAAUGGGCGCAAGCCUGAUGCAGCCAUGCCGCGUGUAUGAAGAAGGCCUUCGGGUUGUAAAGUACUUUCAGCGGGGAGGAAGGGAGUAAAGUUAAUACCUUUGCUCAUUGACGUUACCCGCAGAAGAAGCACCGGCUAACUCCGUG